rnacentral:rRNA from 1 species
UACAGAGGUCCCCGAGCGUUGUUCGGAUUCAUUGGGCGUAAAGGGUGCGUAGGCGGCGGGGAAAGUCUGAUGUGAAAUCCUGGGGCUCAACCCUGGAACUGCAUUGGAUACUUCCUUGCUAGAGUACUGGAGAGGAAACUGGAAUCCCCGGUGUAGUGGUGAAAUGCGUAGAGAUCGGGGGGAACACCCGUGGCGAAGGCGGCCAGCUGGGCCGCCCUGACACCUGAGGCGCGAAG